AAAAUUUAAUUAAUGCAUAUAACACGUGAUUUUAUUUUAAAAAAACAAAUACAUAUAUAUCAUAUAGACAAAAGAUAGUUAAAUAUAUGCAUAAUAAUUUAACGUUAAUAAACUAAUUUUUAUGAAAUAUAUACAUAUAUAAUAGCACAUAAAAUAUUACAUAAAAUAAUGUACAACCAUCUCUAAAUUACAACAAAUAAAUAACAAAAAAUACAAAUAACGCAAUUGAUAUACACAUUACAAAUAAUAUAAAUGACCAAAAAGAAAAAAAAUAAACAUAUCAACAAAUUAUUCAACAUGUACAGGAAAAUAAAUAAUCUAAUUUAAAAUGAUAACACAAAUCUUGCAAAUCAAAUGAAAUAAGGACUCACAUAUGACACAUUUGAUUUCACAGGGACCAUACUAGAAAUUAUUCCCAAUCUUAAAACAUUGCAUGGAAAUCGGGACUAGAAUGCCAAGUCGUACAAAUCUGAGGAACAAUUUAAAAACAGAAAAUAAAGCAAUUUAAGCGCAAAGGGGAGCAGAUUGCGCAGCAGUACAAGGAAGAGGGACCUGCCGCGAAAAUAAACCAUUAUCGGCGCAAAAGCACCAAUUCGGAGCUCCAGGCGGGCUAACACGCGGACCUUGGCUUCCCCCCUGUGCGGCGUCGUUUAGAUCUGCUGCUAAACUCUUUUCAUUUCAAUCGUUUUUUAACCUAAAACAUCAUUCCUUUGUCCCCUUUUGAAAUAAUCAAGCUAUGAGCCCCUGAUUUUAGGGUUUCAUUUAGCCUAUCACUGCCGAAAAUGAAGCUCUUAGAACUCCAAAGCCAGUUUGCAGCCUCAAGAUCACUCCUCAAACUUCGAUUUAGCGAAGCAAAGAAGAACCCGUGGCGAAUUUGCAAGGUAGAUCUCCUUUCAUUUUCUUUUUAUUUUCAAAUACAGUAACGAAAGGUUGAAGAAAGCAAAAAAAAAACGAAAAUAAAAUGAUUCAAUCGAAAGAACUAAAGCAAAUAAAAAAUGAAAAUCACCUCUGCAAAAAUCUUUUUGGAAUGCUUUUUCUGUAUUUAGUAUGCGUAUAGCAUAGCGCGUGUGUAUAUUCUGUAUGCGUAAAUUUGCAGGUACAACUUCUUGGCUUUUUAUAGCCGGAUUUUACAGAGGAAAAUAAAUAAAUAAAUAAAUACAAAUAUAUUUACUGGCUGUCAUCUCUUGUAUUCUGUUAAUUUUUCCUUCUCGUGUGUUCUUUUUGCAGAGCUGGGCGUACGGAGAAGAAGACCCCGGGUGAUGUGGAGGCUGGGCGCAAGGGUCUCUCGUGUGAGACCAACUUUCUGGUGCCUCUCUAGCUUGUUCUAGACUCUUCUGGAAUUCACAAGAAGCUGAAACAAUUUUGGGUAUGUUGGGCUUCGGGUUUUGGGCUUAUUUAGGCUAAUUUUAUUUGGAUUUUGGAGAUUUAGAAUUUGAGUCAAAGUUUUGGGGUAUUUGGUUAAAAAAAUAGGUUUAUUUUAUUUUGGCCCAAAUAUUUGUAUUGGACUUUUAAUUUUGGAUUUUUAUUAUUUUUGUUUUAUUCUGGUUUUGGGUCUUGAUGUAAGCCCGGGCAAAAAUGAGCCAUUACAUCAAUAACCGUCAUUUUCAUGAAUUUCGAGUUCAAUCUCAUAAUUAUUUGUCUCGUGUUCAAUUUAUUCCAUAUCGCAAUUUUAUUCAUUAAAACAUUUGAAUUAUCAAUACAUAUGGACAGUACAUUCAAGAUGAACAAUUAUAUAAUCACAAAUGAAUUCAUUUAUCAACCAAGUUCUACACUCGUAUCUUAUCAACUCGUACUUCCUUGUAUCACAUAAUUUCAUGUAACACUUACCAAACUUUG
rnacentral:lncRNA from 1 species